rnacentral:lncRNA from 1 species
CACUUAAAAUAAAUAAAAGCUAGACCAAUUUUGUAUUUGUAUGAAAAUUGGAUUGGUAUCAUUUGGUUUAGGAGUAAGAUGUUUUUGAUUAUUCCUGAUAUAGAUACAACUCCUGAAAUAAAUAGAAACUAGAUCAUUUUUGUGUUUGUCUAAAAAUUGGUUUGUUUUCAAGAAUUUAAAAAAAAAGCGUUUGGAUUUUUAGAUAGGGAUAGUAGGAAUAAGAAUAAUUAUAGUUUUAAAAUAAUAAUAUUUUACCUAAU